AAAUCCCAUUUUUUAUUUUGCCCAAAAUCCCUUUAUUUUCCCCCAUUUCCCUGCAGGAGCUGCGUUCCGCCCUGCAGGUGGCGCUGCUGCGCCGCCCGGCCGAGCCGGAUCCCCAAAAACCCCCAAAAAUGCCCUAAAAACCCCCCAAAAAUCACCCAAAAAAUCAACCAAAAAUCCCACAAAAAUCACGCAAAACCCCCCCAAAAAAUCCCAUAAAAUACCUAAAAAAUCCCCCAAAAAUCCCCAAAAAAUUACCCAAAAAUCACCGAAAAAUCAUCCAAAAAUCCUUCAAAAUCACGCAAAAAAUACCAUUAAAAUCCCCAAAAAAUCAUCCUAAAAAUCCCGUAAAAUCACCAAAAAAUCCCAUAAAAUCCCCAAAAAAUUUCUACAAAAUCCCAUAAAAUCCCUAAAAAAUCACCCAAAAAUCCCCCAAAAAAUCACCCAAAAAAUCCCAUAAAAUACCUAAAAAUCACCCCAAAAAUCCCCAAAAAAUUCCCUGGAAAAUCCCAUCAAAUCCCUAAAUAUCCCCCAAAAUCCCUCAAAAAUCACCCAAAAAUCCCUCAAAAUCACGCAAAAAAUCCCAUUAUAAUCCCUAAAAAAUCACCCCAAAAAUCCCUUAAAAUCCCCAAAAAAUCCCUAAAAAAUCCCAAAAAUCGCAUAAAAAUCUCCAAAAAUCACCCAAAAAUCACCCAAAAAUCAUCCAAAAAUCCCUCAAAAUCACGCAAAAAAAUCCCAUUAAAAUCCCCAAAAAUCCCCAAAAAAUCCCCCCAAAAACCCCCCCAAAAAAUCCCCCAAAAACCCCCCACAAAACCCCAUAAAACCCCAAAAAUGACAUUUUUUGUUUUUGCCCAAAAUCCCUUUAUUUUCCCCCAAUCCCCUGCAGGAACUGCAGUCCGCCCUGCAGGUGGCGCUGCUGCGCCGCCCGGCCGAGCCGCGGCCGCCCGCGCUGGCGCCGCUGCUGCUGCUGCCGCUGCCGCCCGAGCGCAAACUGCGGCUGCUGCCGGGCCGGCAACUGCUGCGGGAAAACCUGGCCUGGAAUCCCGAGGGGCUCCCCCACGGAUUGGAGCGGCUGAGGACGGCGCUGAACAUUCUGGAAAAAUACGGACGCAACCUCCUGAGCCCGCGCCCGCCCCGCCACUGGAGGAGCGUCCGAUUCGGCAACCCCGUCUUCAAAUCCACCGUCGGAGCCAUCCAGGUGGGCGUUCCCAAAAAAUUCCCAACAUUCCCAAAAAA
rnacentral:lncRNA from 1 species